GACCCCUGGCUUAGUGGAAGCGCAUCUGCUUUGCACGCAGAAGGUCCCAGGUUCCAUCUUGGGCAUCUCCA
rnacentral:tRNA from 1 species